rnacentral:rRNA from 1 species
UACGGAGGGUGCGAGCGUUGUCCGGAAUCACUGGGCGUAAAGGGCGCGUAGGCGGGCGCGGGCAGUCAACGGUGGAAAGCUCCGGGGCUCAACCCCGAGUCGGCCGUCGAUACCUCCCGUGCUCGAGCACUGUAGAGGCAGGUGGAAUUCCGGGUGGUAGCGGUGGAAUGCGUAGAGAUCCGGAAGAACACCGGUGGCGAAGGCGGCCUGCUGGGCUCGGACUGACGCUGAGGCGACGAAAGGCGUGGGGAGCAAACAGG